rnacentral:ncRNA from 1 species
UUGUUAGGUUUUAUGUUUAAACACUAUAAUAUAUUUUAUUUUAGUAUGAAGUUUUUCUUGUUUCUUUUUUUUACAUACAAUUUUUAGUGUUAAAUGUUUAGUAAGUAGUAAAUAUAAUUAAUUAUUUAAUGAGAAUUAGAUUUAGAUAUAGAAAAUUUAAAAUUAACUAAUUUUGUGCCAGCAGUUGCGGUUAUACAAUUAAUUUUGGGGGAAAUUAAUGGUUGAAGUAAUUUGUUUGUGCCAUAGAAUAACAGUAAAUUUUAAAUUAAAGAGUAAAAUCUUAAUUUAAUCUCUCAUUUUUAAUAUUAAAUUACGAAAUUCAUAAAUAGACUAGGAUUAGAUACCCUAUUAUUCGAAUGUAAAUAUCUCUGGAGUAGUAUUUGGUAUGAUCAUCAAACUCAAAUAAUUUGGCGGUAUUUUAUCUAAUCAGAGGAACCUGUCUAUUAAUUGAUAAUCCACAACUUUAUUUAAUCUUAAUUAAAUUACUUGUAUACCGCCGUCAUGAAUGUAUUAGAAAAUUAUUUUCAUUAAAUUUUAUGAAUUUUAUGUUAGGUCAAGGUGCAGUCUAUUAAGAAUUUUUGAUGGGUUACAAAUAAUAAAAUGAAUGGAUUUAAAUUCUUAUAUUUUAAUGAAAAAGGAUUUGAUAGUAAAAUUAUAAAAGUAAUAUAAUGAAUUAAGAUUCUAGAAUAUGUACACAUUGCCCGUCACUCUUGUUUAACAUAAGAUAAGUCGUAACAUAGUAGAUGUACCGGAAGGUGUAUCUGGACAGGAG